AUCACCAUCGCUGGCCCGCUGGGCAGGCAGGCUCGAACAGGGGAAUUGCACAGCAAUGGAUGAAAUAAAGCAAAUGGCCGUGUCUUAGUUAAGCAAGGAAUCGAUCCAGUAGAUCAAGGCUACAGGUUCCAAGUUGAUCGAUUGGAACAGUCAUUCAGUUGAAAGGAUGCCAAAAAAAUUUAAUCAAGUUUGUCGAUCUUUUGAGGCUGUUUGACUAGGUGUAACUGGAGUAUCUCCAGUCCUGGAAAAUCCAUUGGUAUAUACCAUCAGUAUGUUGCUAUUUCAGUUUCUGAACGCAAUUUGAAAAGGCCCA